GAUGAAGAACGCAGCGAAAUGCGAUAAGUAAUGUGAAUUGCAGAAUUCAGUGAAUCAUCGAAUCUUUGAACGCACAUUGCGCCCGCCAGUAUUCUGGCGGGCAUGCCUGUCCGAGCGUCAUUUCAACCCUCGAACCCCUCCGGGGGGUCGGCGUUGGGGAUCGGGAACCCCUAAGACGGGAUCCCGGCCCCGAAAUACAGUGGCGGUCUCGCCGCAGCCUCUCCUGCGCAGUAGUUUGCACAACUCGCACCGGGAGCGCGGCGCGUCCACGUCCGUAAAACACCCAACUCUCUGAAAUGUUGACCUCGGAUCAGGUAGGAAUACCCGCUGAACUUAAGCAUAUCAAUAAGCGGAGGA
rnacentral:misc_RNA from 1 species